rnacentral:rRNA from 1 species
UACGGGGGGAGCAAGCGUUGUUCGGAUUUACUGGGCGUAAAGGGCGCGUAGGCGGCGCCGCAAGUCGACUGUGAAAUCUCCGGGCUUAACCCGGAAAGGUCAGCCGAUACUGCGGGGCUAGAGUGCAGAAGGGGCAACUGGAAUUCUCGGUGUAGCGGUGAAAUGCGUAGAUAUCGAGAGGAACACCUGCGGCGAAGGCGGGUUGCUGGGCUGAUACUGACGCUGAGGCGCGAAAGCCGGGGGAGCGAACGGG